AGAGUUUGAUCCUGGACUCAGAACGAACGCUGGCGGCGUGCUUAACACAUGCAAGUCGAACGAGAAAGUUCCCUUCGGGGAAUGAGUAGAUGUGGCGCACGGGUGAGAGAACACGUAGGUGAUCUACCCUUUGCUGGGGAACAACCCCGCGGAAACCGAAGCUAAUUCCGUAUAAGUCUUUCAGACUGCGGUCUGAAAGAGAGAGGUGACCUCUUCAUGAAAGUUAUCGGCGAAGGAUGAGCCUGCGUAUCAUUAGCUUGUUGGUGGGGUAAAGGCCUACCAAGGCUUCGAUGAUUAGCUGGUCUGAGAGGAUGAUCAGCCACACUGGAACUGAGACACGGUCCAGACUCCUACGGGAGGCAGCAGUGGGGAAUAUUGCGCAAUGGGCGAAAGCCUGACGCAGCAACGCCGCGUGAGUGAUGAAAGGUUUUCGGAUCGUAAAGCUCUGUCAGGGAGGGACGAAUCAUUAUCCGGAACAAUACCCGGGUGACAUGACGGUACCCCCAGAGGAAGCACCGGCUAACUCCGUGCCAGCAGCCGCGGUAAUACGGAGUGGUGCAAGCGUUGUUCGGAAUUACUGGGCGUAAAGCGCGUGUAGGCGUGAUUCAGAAGUCGGGUGUGAAAGCCCCGGGCUCAACCCGGGAAGUGCGCUCGAACACCAUGAGUCUUGAGGUCCGGAGGGGAUCGGGGAAUUCCUGGUGUAGAGGUGAAAUUCGUAGAUAUCAGGAGGAACACCGGUGGCGAAGGCGCCGAUCUGGACGGAUUCUGACGCUGAGACGCGUAAAGCGUGGGGAGCAAACUAGGAUUAGAUACCCUGGUAGUCCACGCCGUAAACGAUGUGCACUAGGUGUCGGGGGUAUUGACCCCCCCGGUGCCGACGCUAACGCAUUAAGUGCACCGCCUGGGAAGUACGGCCGCAAGGCUGAAACUCAAAGGAAUUGACGGGGGCCCGCACAAGCGGUGGAGUAUGUGGUUCAAUUCGACGCUAACGCGAUAAAACCUUACCUGGGCUUGACAUCUGGAGAAUCCCCUAGAAAUAGGGGAGUGCCCUUCGGGGAAUUCCAAGACAGGUGCUGCAUGGCUGUCGUCAGCUCGUGUCGUGAGAUGUUGGGUUAAGUCCCGCAACGAGCGCAACCCUUGUCCUUAGUUGCACCAGUUCGGCUGAGCACUCUAGGGAGACCGCCGGUGUUAAACCGGAGGAAGGUGGGGAUGACGUCAAGUCCUCAUGGCCCUUAUGCCUGGGGCUACACACGUACUACAAUGGCCGGUACAGAGGGUAGCCAAGCCGCGAGGUGGAGCUAAUCUCAAAAAGCCGGUCUAAGUUCGGAUUGGUCUCUGCAACUCGAGACCAUGAAGCUGGAAUCGCUAGUAAUCGCUGAUCAGAAUGCAGCGGUGAAUACGUUCCCGGGCCUUGUACACACCGCCCGUCACACCACGAAAGUUGUUUAUACCAGAAGUACGUGACCCAACCUUCGGGAGGGAGCGUCCCAAGGUAUGAGCGAUGAUUGGGGUGAAGUCGUAACAAGGUAACC
rnacentral:rRNA from 1 species